GAUGAAGAACGCAGCGAAUUGCGAUAAGUAAUGUGAAUUGCAGAAUUCCGUGAAUCAUCGAAUCUUUGAACGCACAUUGCGCCCCCUGGCAUUCCGGGGGGCAUGCCUGUCCGAGCGUCAUUUCUGCCCUCAAGCCCGGCUUGUGUGUUGGGCGUGGUCCCCCCGGUUUAGGGGGGACCUGCCCGAAAGGCAGCGGCGACGUUCCGCCUAGGUCCUCGAGCGUAUGGGGCUUUGUCACCCGCUCGGGAGGGGCCUACGGGCGUUGGCCAUCCACCAUUUAUUUUUUUUACGGUUGACCUCGGAUCAGGUAGGAGUUACCCGCUGAACUUAAGCAUAUCAAUAAGCGGAGGA
rnacentral:misc_RNA from 1 species